UUUUCCCCAUUUUACACUAAUGCUCCAGGGGCUCGGUAACUUGCCCAGGGUCACCCUGUUUGUAAUGUAAAUGCCUAAUUGUCCUUAAUUUUAACCAGAUACAAUUUCUUCCAAGGUACCCGGAGUGUGGGAGGCCCAUUCACAGUAGAUGCUUCUUUAUUUUCUUCCCUGUGAGUUCAGAAAGGGAGUGAAAACUAGAUAUGUCCCGGUGUAUCCUCUUGAUCAAAAAUUAAUUGUUGAAAUCUCAUUACUUUUGCCAGCAAAUGGUCUAAAGAUGGGUGUACGACUGACUCACUUCUGGCCUACAAGAUAAGAGUUGGAAGCCUGCUGAGGAGGGCAAGACUCCUGAAAUGAAAACACAAAGCUUCAAAAGGAUGAGACCUUUGCCAGUCUUCUGUCUGGAAAGCAGAGGCAAGGAUAACAAAGGAAGCAGAGGAAGUCUGCUCUGGAGGCACCAUGACAAAGCACCAGACAGAAAGCAGUCACGUGUUGGGGAGAUGAACAGAGACACCACUUCCCAAGCACCUGAUUAUUCUUUCUCGGGAUUUUGAGGCAAAAAUUAUCCUUGAGAAAAACAACCACAAGCACAACAAUAUGAGCUGUACAGCUCAUGAAACACUGCAUUAAACAGUCACAGGACCAACAUACAGAUUCCUAUUUCCAGGUUUGUCUCUUCUGUCUAAAAAAGACUUUCCUUUCAGCCAUGUCUGCUGGCAUCCCCUUCAGAAAAGUAGCAAUGUUUGCUAAUGAGCAUAAUCCUAGUUAUUUGUAGCGCUGUUAUAAAUGGCACAGGGUACGCAUAUAAAUCCCCACGCAUGAUUCUGAAAAUAUGUCCAAUAG